CAAUAGCGUAUAUUUAAGUUGUUGCAGUUAAAAAGCUCGUAGUUGGAUUUCGGAUGGGAUCUGCCGGUCCGCCUUUGAGGUGUGUACUGGUAGGUCCUAUCUUGUUGUCGGGGACCAGCUCCUGGGCUUCACUGUCCGGGACUAGGAGCUGACGAGGUUACUUUGAGUAAAUUAGAGUGUUCAAAGCAAGCCUACGCUCUGAAUACAUUAGCAUGGAAUAACACGAUAGGACUCUGGCUUAUCUUGUUGGUCUGUGAGACCAGAGUAAUGAUUAAGAGGGACAGUCGGGGGCAUUCGUAUUUCAUUGUCAGAGGUGAAAUUCUUGGAUUUAUGAAAGACGAACUUCUGCGAAAGCAUUUGUCAAGGAUGUUUNCAUUA
rnacentral:rRNA from 1 species